UGGCAGCAGGAACCGCCGCUGGGACCUUGCUUGGCUCUGCUUGGCUGCGUAUUAAAGUUUGAGCGUGAUGCAAUGUUUGCCCUUUGUUUUAUGAGGUUUGGGAAGCAGGGAUAGCGCUCGGCUUGGGCAGCAGGGCUGCACGAAGCUGCCCUCGUGCUUGGAGCUGCUGGCGAGAACAGAGAUCAGAUGAACGUCUGCAGCAGCGCCCUGGUGCUCACUGCCUCACUCCAUGGCAGCACACGGCUUGGCAGAAAAAGGAUGGAGGAGACUGCAGAGCCCCCCUCCCUGUGCAAACCACCAGCGCAAUAAUCCUUCCCUCUGGGCCGCACCUGAGACCAAACUCUGCAUUCAUUCUGCUGCUGCAUCCACCUCUGCUCCACUGAGGGCCACAGGUGGUGGGAAUACAAGUGCCGGUGUAUCUGCCAUCUCCUGCCUGCACCUUCCCAUCCUGCUCCUGCAUUGCACAGCGCUGCACAGCCCGGGGAGCCGCAAUGCUGCUGUGCUGGGGCUCAGCUCGGGCUGCAGCCCGCGCAGCGUUUGAUGCAGCAGCGCUCGCUGCCCACUCCAGCGCAUCCCCACGAGGGGGCAGGGCAGCCCCACGCUGCAGCCGUAGCCCCGGCCGUCCCCAAAGCAGCCGCCCCUGCAGCCAACGCUGCGGACACAAAGAGGGGGACGCCCCCUCUGCCCGACCCCCAUCCUGGGGAGCAGCCCAUGCGCUCCGCCGUAUCCCCAGGCCGGCUGCCACCCCCCCCCCCAGCACAAGGCCCCAAAGGGUCCCGGCCCCGUCCCGGCCUCCCACGCUGGCACCGAGGUUUCCUUGACGCAAGCAGAGCGCAGCCACGCGCCGCUUGUGCCCCACGUUGGCGCAGCCGGGACCCCGCGCUCACAGCUGCCCACGCAAACCACGGCGCUCACGGAGGGGUCGGUUCCCGGAGCUGAGGGAGACGAAUGGGAGACGGGGCCGCUUUAGAGCCUUUAUUUUGGAGUCAAAGCCUGUAGAUACAGCAAUAAAAUAUACAAAAACAUAAAAAUUUGUACGGUUUUGAAUGUGGCCCAGGGGCGCCAUUGACGGCAGCCAGAGGCAGCGACACAUCAGCACAGGGACGAGCAACAGACCUUGUGCCCUCUGAGCGCCCACUGACUGCAGGGGGCCACCGUUCUGCAUCUAUGGGCAGCCCCGAGACCCCUGCCCUGCCCUCACACCGUGUCCGGUGCUGCCCAGGGGCUGCCCCCAGCCCACAGCGAGGGGGCACAGGGGAAUGAUGCUGCCUUUGGCACUGCCUUGACUCUCUGCACAGCUGAUGGACAGGGACCCCCUGCACCACAGCAUUGCUAUGGGUACAAACAGAGCAUCUCUAGCCAGAGCACCAGAACCAUUACAGCCCUGUGCCGGAGCCCAGAAGUUUCUCUGCUGGUGUUACCCACAGCUGCUGGGCCCUGCCCCAUGCUCCCACCUCACUGCAUGGAGAUUCCUGCUGCUCUGGGGAAGCACACGACCCUCACGCUGCCGCUCCCUCCCAUUUUUGCUCAGGGAUGGAACAGAAACCCACGCCUGGAAAGGGCAGGAGGGCUCCCUACACUUGGGUAAAUACC